CUAAAUACUCCUGACUGACCGAUAGUGAACCAGUACCGUGAGGGAAAGGCGAAAAGAACCCCGGCGAGGGGAGUGAAAAAGAACCUGAAACCGUGUACGUACAAGCAGUGGGAGCACGCUUAGGCGUGUGACUGCGUACCUUUUGUAUAAUGGGUCAGCGACUUAUAUUCUGUAGCAAGGUUAACCGAAUAGGGGAGCCGAAGGGAAACCGAGUCUUAACUGGGCGUUAAGUUGCAGGGUAUAGACCCGAAACCCGGUGAUCUAGCCAUGGGCAGGUUGAAGGUUGGGUAACACUAACUGGAGGACCGAACCGACUAAUGUUGAAAAAUUAGCGGAUGACUUGUGGCUGGGGGUGAAAGGCCAAUCAAACCGGGAGAUAGCUGGUUCUCCCCGAAAGCUAUUUAGGUAGCGCCUCGUGAAUUCAUCUCCGGGGGUAGAGCACUGUUUCGGCAAGGGGGUCAUCCCGACUUACCAACCCGAUGCAAACUGCGAAUACCGGAGAAUGUUAUCACGGGAGACACACGGCGGGUGCUAACGUCCGUCGUGAAGAGGGAAACAACCCAGACCGCCAGCUAAGGUCCCAAAGUCAUGGUUAAGUGGGAAACGAUGUGGGAAGGCCCAGACAGCC
rnacentral:rRNA from 1 species